GGCCAGUUAGCUCAGUUGGUUAGAGCCCGGUGCUAACAACACCAAGGUUGCUGGUUCGAUCCUUGCAUGGGCCA